rnacentral:rRNA from 1 species
GGGAUUGCCUCAGUAACGGCGAGUGAAGCGGCAACAGCUCAAAUUUGAAAUCUGGCCCUUCCGGGGUCCGAGUUGUAAUUUGUAGAGAGUGUUUCGGGUGAGACCACGGUCUAAGUCUUUUGGAACAUUACGUCAUAGAGGGUGAGAACCCCGUAUGCGACCGUGGCUCGAGCCCAUGUGAAGCCUCUUCGACGAGUCGAGUUGUUUGGGAAUGCAGCUCUUAAUGGGUGGUAAAUUUCAUCUAAAGCUAAAUACUGGCUGGAGACCGAUAGCGCACAAGUAGAGUGAUCGAAAGAUGAAAAGCACUUUGGAAAGAGAGUCAAACAGUACGUGAAAUUGUUGAAAGGGAAGCGCUGGCAACCAGACCUGUCCGUAGGCGAUCAGCCGCUGUUCUCAGCGGUGCACUCGUUCUGCGAUCAGGCCAGCAUCGGUAUCGGCGGUCGGAUAAAGGCCCGGGGAACGUAGCUCCCUCCCGGGGGAGUGUUAUAGCCCCGGGCGCAAUGCGGCCAGCCGGGACCGAGGACCGCGCUUCGGCUAGGAUGCUGGCGUAAUGGUUGUCAGCGACCCGUCUUGAAACACGGACCAAGGAGUCUAACAUCUAUGCGAGUGUUUGGGUGUCAAACCCAUGCGCGGAAUGAAAGUGAACGGAGGUGAGAACCCUUUUUCGGGGCGCAUCAUCGACCGAUCCAGAUGUUUUCGGAUGGAUUUGAGUAUGAGCAUAGCUGUUGGGACCCGAAAGAUGGUGAACUAUGCCUGAAUAGGGUGAAGCCAGAGGAAACUCUGGUGGAGGCUCGCAGCGGUUCUGACGUGCAAAUCGAUCGUCAAAUUUGGGUAUAGGGGCGAAAGACUAAUCGAACCAUCUAGUAGCUGGUUCCUGCCGAAGU